rnacentral:rRNA from 1 species
UACGUAGGGUGCGAGCGUUGUCCGGGAAUUAUUGGGCGUAAAGAGCUUGUUAGGUGGUUUGUCGCGUCUGCUGUGAAAAUCCGAGGCUCAACCCGUCGGACUUGCAGUGGGUACGGGGCAGACUAGAGUGUGGGUAGGGGAGACUGGAAUUCCUGGUGUAGCGGUGGAAUGCGCAGAUAUCAGGAGGAACACCGAUGGCGAAGGCAGGUCUCUGGGC